UGCUCCUUGAUUCAGCGGCGGACGGGUGAGUAAUGCCUAGGAAUCUGCCUGGUAGUGGGGGACAACGUUUCGAAAGGAACGCUAAUACCGCAUACGUCCUACGGGAGAAAGCAGGGGACCUUCGGGCCUUGCGCUAUCAGAUGAGCCUAGGUCGGAUUAGCUAGUUGGUGGGGUAAUGGCUCACCAAGGCGACGAUCCGUAACUGGUCUGAGAGGAUGAUCAGUCACACUGGAACUGAGACACGGUCCAGACUCCUACGGGAGGCAGCAGUGGGGAAUAUUGGACAAUGGGCGAAAGCCUGAUCCAGCCAUGCCGCGUGUGUGAAGAAGGUCUUCGGAUUGUAAAGCACUUUAAGUUGGGAGGAAGGGCAUUAACCUAAUACGUUAGUGUUUUGACGUUACCGACAGAAUAAGCACCGGCUAACUCUGUGCCAGCAGCCGCGGUAAUACAGAGGGUGCAAGCGUUAAUCGGAAUUACUGGGCGUAAAGCGCGCGUAGGUGGUUUGUUAAGUUGGAUGUGAAAGCCCCGGGCUCAACCUGGGAACUGCAUCCAAAACUGGCAAGCUAGAGUACGGUAGAGGGUGGUGGAAUUUCCUGUGUAGCGGUGAAAUGCGUAGAUAUAGGAAGGAACACCAGUGGCGAAGGCGACCACCUGGACUGAUACUGACACUGAGGUGCGAAAAGCGUGGGGGAGCAAACAGGAUUAGAUACCCUGGUAGUCCACGCCGUAACGAUGUCAACUAGCCGUUGGAAUCCUUGAGAUUUUAGUGGCGCAGCUAACGCAUUAAGUUUGACCGCCUGGGGAGUACGGCCGCAAGGUUAAACUCAAAUGAUUGACGGGGCCCGCACAGCGGUGGGAGCAUGUGGUUUAAUUCGAAGCAACGCGAAAGAGCUUACGAGGCCUUGGACAUGCAGAAGAACUUUCCAGAGUGGAUUGGUGGCCUUCGGGACUUCUGGCCAC
rnacentral:rRNA from 1 species